GCCAGCUGGUUAGCUGCAAAAAGCUGGGUUUUAAACCUAGGCCUUUGUGACGCCAAAGCCUACCCUGCCAGCUUGCUGUUAACGAUGUUCACCUGACCAUUCCUCUAGUUCAGAAAACAAAAUGGCAACAGAACUUGAGCGUCUACUGUGUGCCAGUCACCAAGCUGGACACUUGAUAUAUUCCAUCUCAUUUACUCUCCAAACAACCCUGGAAUUUAGAUGAUGUUCCCAUUUUACAGGAAAGGCAACUACAGGACGGAAUAGGCAUGUAAGCGAAUCAUGCUCACAGAGCUUCCAAGGGGAGGAGGUGGAAUUCAAGAGGGCAAGGUUAGUUACUACUGUCCUGAAUUCUUGUAUCUUUCACAACAUUGGGGUUCGGGAGGAACAUGCAUGUUACAGGACAGAAAUACCAAAUGUCUUAACAAUGCAAGGUGCUAAGAAAUGGAAACAGGCUUUAAAGACAAACAGUAAAGAAAAAAAGCCAAAAAUUCCUGCAUCGACACAAAAAUCAGCAAGCCACGCAUAAAACAUAAAAUAGGAAAUAUGUUUCAAGAGAUUAAAAAGCAUGUUACUAAUCAGAUUAAUCUAGAAAUGUUUCUGGUGUUUGCAAAAUGUUUUUAAAACCCCCUUUUUAAAAUCAGUUUACCACUUAGCUUGGAUUCCUUUUUAAAAACUUAAAUAUUCCAAAUUCUAAUACACAAAUCUAUGCUACCAUAAUAUUUUAGAAUUUGACAUUGAAUUAUUAAACUAACUCACUAACUUACAUUGUAUUUUACAUAUAUUGUAUUUUACAAAAUAAAUUGAUAAAUAUUCAAAUCAAUGCUCUCACCUGUAAUUUACUUUAUAAGUUGCCAGCAGAAAUGAAAAAUCAUUCACCAAGCCCCUUCCAAAGGCAGACAGAUUUACUGAGUCUUUGGAAUAGGAUACGUAGUUAAUUUUUCAAAUAUGGAUAGCCUUCAUUUCUAACACUUCCUUAUACAAACCACACAAGAAAAUUAAAAUGAAAGAGACUUUCAAGGUAUCCCAGUACAACAAGGUCAAUGGACCCUACCUGGUUAUGUUUAAGGAAACAAUUCCAUCCCCUAGAGGGUGGUUACAGAGUACAAGAAAAUAAUUCAGAAAGAAAAGAAAGUGUUCCACUCUCCCUUCUUAACUAGGAAGGUGAGCGAAAACAAGGUGGCAAUUUAAAAGCAACGUGUAAUAAAACAGGUGUAAGUAAUGCUACCCUCCACCUUACACAAGCCAGGAGAAGGAACACAUUUCUAUAAAAGUUAUAGAGCUGUCCAGGGGACACCAAACUCUACCUUCCUAUGGCUGUUAUGUUUUAUCAAUAAAGCUUGGAUACUGUGUUACUAUGGUGAUUUAAUACUAUGUUUUAAAGGGGGAUUAUAUGAUUAAUUUUAACAAGGUUGAGAACUGAAGAUGUGUGAGAAACAGGAUUCUAGCUCACAUAAUUAAAGUGAUUGGGGAGAAAAGUGGGCCUCACUGGGGGGAGGAGAAAAAAACUUGAAUUAUUAAAAUAUUUAAAGCAACAGGUCACAAUGAUUUCUAAAUUACAAAUAAGGUCAUGCUUUUGUGACAUACUAUUAUGUGGUCAUAUAAAAUAUGACUGUUCAUUAUUUUAACUCAGGGUGUGAUUUCACUUCUAGAAUGUUUAAAAUGAGGCAUCUGAGAAGGAAAGGGUAUUGAUAGGACUGAAUGAAAAGAAAACACCCGGGAUCCUUAGGAAAAGGACACAGAAUGAACACAACUUGGUUUGUGAAGUAUCAGGACUAAAACGAAAUUCCAAGCCCCAUUCUGCUUCAAAGCCCUCUCCAUCCUGCCAGCCUCCACUAAACACGAUGAAACCCUUCCCUCACCUCCAGCGUUCAACUCUACUGAAGGAACUCAGGAUUAUUGUUUACCCAUCCGUGAACCUAUACGCGAAAAAACAUUAAAACCAAGACAAUCAUCAAGAACAGGACACUCUUAAACAUAUACAAGGAAGCAGAUGUUUAAUCUGGAUUGCAUUUAUACAUCUGCAAUCUAUCAAUGAAUCUUUUCAAAAUCUGUAAUGUGGCCCAUCAAAAUGGCUACACUGGAUGGCAAUCGUGGAUACUGACGCACUACUUGAAGAAAGCUGCUUCAGCGGGGUGCUCUGUUGCUAUUAUGCUAAACAAUCACCUCCUAGGGUCUAAAGAGAUUGAGAGUUUAUACCUGAGGAUGAGAAAAUUAUGUUUCCAUCUACAGUCCCAGACUGCCAAGUUACUAAGAAAUAUGGAAACGGACCUUUUUGAGCAAGAGGUGGAAAAAUCCAUACAUCAACAGUGACUCUUGGAAAAAGCACACAUCUAAAACAAACUUAAAAGAUGAUCUUUAAGGGCAGCUUCAGGACUUUCCACUUGGGUUUCUCUGUACUACUCUGAUUAACUUUAUUACCUUCUACAGCGUCAUAACACAAAGGACAAGAAAUUGGAGGAAUGUAAUUACAUGGUGGCAUCCCUA